AAUAGCGUGUUUUCGCGUUGGGCGAACAUAUCCGAUUUCCGGUCCGCCCCCUAUACGUCAUCAUUGAGUAAACUUUGACCCGGAACCUCACAGCCAGCAGACACAUUCCACCCAAUCAGCAGCAGACCCUCCCUCCGGGUCAAAGUUUACUCAAUGAUGACGUAUAGGGGGCGGACCGGAAAUCGGAUAUGUUUGCCCAACGCGAACACGCUAUU